GAUGAACGCUGGCGGCGUGCCUAAUACAUGCAAGUCGAGCGAAUGGAUUAAGAGCUUGCUCUUAUGAAGUUAGCGGCGGACGGGUGAGUAACACGUGGGUAACCUGCCCAUAAGACUGGGAUAACUCCGGGAAACCGGGGCUAAUACCGGAUAACAUUUUGAACCGCAUGGUUCGAAAUUGAAAGGCGGCUUCGGCUGUCACUUAUGGAUGGACCCGCGUCGCAUUAGCUAGUUGGUGAGGUAACGGCUCACCAAGGCAACGAUGCGUAGCCGACCUGAGGGGGGGAUCGGCCACACUGGGACCGAGACACGGCCCAGACUCCUCCGGGAGGCAGCAGUAGGGAAUCUUCCGCAAUGGACGAAAGUCUGACGGAGCAACGCCGCGUGAGUGAUGAAGGCUUUCGGGUCGUAAAACUCUGUUGUUAGGGAAGAACAAGUGCUAGUUGAAUAAGCUGGCACCUUGACGGUACCUAACCAGAAAGCCACGGCUAACUACGUGCCAGCAGCCGCCGUAA
rnacentral:rRNA from 1 species